rnacentral:tRNA from 1 species
AACUUUAUAGUCAAUAAAAUGAUAUUAGACUGCAAUUCUAAAGGAAUAAAAAUUAUAUUUAUUAAAGUUU